AAAAAAUAUAUAUAUAUAUAUAAAAAAAAAAUUUUUUUAUUCUUUACUGUCACUUUUGAUCAAGUAAAUUGCUCCUUGCUGAAUAGAUUUAUUCAUUUCUUAAUACUUAAUGAAUAAAAAACCCUAUUGACUUUUAAACAGUUAUUCAUUAAAGAAUCCUGAAAAAAUAUUUCCACAAAAAUAGCAGAACUGUUUUCAACACUGAUUAUAUAUUUCUUUACGCACCAAAUCGGCAUAUGAGAAUGAUUUCUUAAGAAUGUGACAGACUUGUGAAAGACUGGAGUAGUAACUGCUGUAAUUCAGUUUUGCCAUCGCAGGAAUAAAUUACUUUUUAAAAUACAUUAAAAUAGAAAACUGAUAUUUUAAAUAAUAAUUGCAGUAAUAAUAUUUUAGAUAAUAAUAUUUGACGAUAUUACUGUAUUUUUGAUCAAAUAAAUGCAGCCUUGGUGAGCAUAAGAGACUGGAUGAUUUAAAAAUCAUUAAAAUUCUAAUAUAUAUAAAAUACCACAGAACAAUAAAUGGUAAAAAAAAAAAUGUGUUGGGUGACAUCUGGUAAACUCUGUACCUCAUUUUUGUCAGACUACAGAAAAUAUGCUCCUGUUAACCCAUUACCUUAUGGGUUGUGAAAUAAAAAACAAAAUCUUCUUAUAAAUAACAUUCAACUUUUCCAAAUAUAUCCAUAAUCCCACCAUAGCACAGUCUGCAGUUUAAAAUAAUUGUUUGUUUGCUGUUGUUGUUGUAGGGGUGCAUUCUCAACAAGAGGACAAAGGGGUGGAAGACCAUUUGUAUUAGACAGAGGGGUAAGAAGGACAAUCUUUAUUAAUAAAUAUAAAUAACAUUCACAUUAUACAAAACCUAUACAUGGAUUGACCUUGCUGUUAAUAUAUUUUAGACCUUCACUUCUGUGUCCUGUCUUUGCUACUAUAGUUUGCCGCUACAAAAAGAGCUGAGAAACUACAAAAGUAUCAGACAAUAAGAAGGAAGACGUCUAAUCAGACUAGGAGGGGUGGGGCAGUGUUAAGAGGCAGAUCAUCUAGAGGAGCCAGUACUUCUUCACUUCAGGGGAUUCAUCUGCAAUUUAACUACAAAGCAACUACUAACCAGACUGCCGUAUACCUUAAUGACCGUUUCACUGACCUGAGGUUAAGAGGGCAAGGACGAGGCCGGGGAAGAGGAAGAGGAGCUGUUGGAGAAGGUGGAAGAGGUGGAGGAAGAGGAAACAUUGUUGGGGGUGGACAAGGUAGAGGACAAGGAAACAUAGGUGGUGUAAGAGGCAGAGGAAGAGGAAACUUUAUGAGGGGUGGCAGAGACAGAGGCAGAGGAAGAGGAAACUUUAUGGGGGGUGGCAGAGACAGAGGCAGAGGAAACAUUAUGGGGGGUGGCAGAGGAAGAGGAGGGGUUGGUGUGACAAGAGGAGGAAGAGGCUUGAGAAGAGGGAGGGGAGGAUCAAGAGGAGCCGAUCGAACAGUAACUCUUCAGUGAUUAGAAUUACAUCCAUUCAAUUUUAUGAAGUAAUAGUAUUUACUGAAAAAUUCAUUUUUGGUAAAAAAAAAAAAAUAAUUUUGGUGCAUCACUGUUUACUGUAAUAAUGUCGUUCAACUUAAUAUCUGUAACAUUUCUGACAGCGGGAUAAGGGGUUUUUAUUGCUGUGUACAAACAAAAAAAAAUGUCCUUUUUAAAAGCAAAUGUAAAUUAUUGAUUGUUAUAUGAUGAAGGUUUUUACAUUUUUAGGUUAUGAAAAAAUAAAAUGUUAAAAAGUACCUCA
ensembl:lncRNA